rfam:Dendroctonus ponderosae Seq01000213, whole genome shotgun sequence.
AGUUAACUGAGUAUAUGGGGAUGAAUAUCUGACAUUCAACGACAAGAAUGCGAGGAAAAAAAAAUGGGGGAAAAAAUCCCCCAUUUCUCCACUAAAC